rnacentral:lncRNA from 1 species
CAGUUUCAAUAUCCAGUUGUCUUCUCUAUUCAUCCUCCUCUUUUUGCCAUGUAGAAAGCCCUUUGUGGUGAAUACUUAUAAUUCACCCAUUGACUCUUGUUGAUGACAUUGAACUUCACAAUGAGAAACUUUCAGUGUGAAACGGAUCAUCUUGUUUCAAAGAGCAAAGAGCUGAUUUCUUAAAAGACUGAGAAAACAUGAACUGCCAUCGAUUAAAAAUCAGGAAUGUGAAAUUCUUUUUCAUUUUCUUCUUCCAGCAAGUUAAACAUGAAAAUGGAAUAAUUUCUUACAAAACAAGGAGGCAAAGAUAUCAUUAAUCCCUUCAAUUAGACUACUUUUAACAGCCAUGAAAAUAAGCCCAGGAACAAAUGUCUGGGCUCUUAAAUGGAAGCAGAGUGGAUUUAAGAGAAGCUGGGCAGAGGCCUUUCACAUUCAGUUGUUGAGAGACCCUGAAGCCAGAUUUAAAGUUAGGUAGUCAGUGUAGUUAGGUAAAUAGGGUCUAAUACCGAGUGAAAUCUAAAAUGGAGGCCAUGCUGGCAAUGAUUCCGGGAAAUGCAGGACAACUCAAGGAAUGUUAAUGAAGUCCGAAAAGGCCCUAGGCCAAAGUCCACCUCAAAGAAAUGUUAAUGAACAGCCCCCAGCAAAAAGGUGCUGACUCAGAAGUCCUUCCUGACCAGAUUACUUCUUUGGCCCACCUGUGUCCCACCCCUCGGGCCUUCCAACCUACAUUCCAUCACCAAAACUAUAAAAAGGGGAAACAACCUCACUUCCAUGGAUUCCACCUCUUGGGUCCCCUUCUUCCUCCAGGAGAAGUCUUUUCUG